rnacentral:rRNA from 1 species
UACGUAGGGGGCAAGCGUUGUCCGGAUUUAUUGGGCGUAAAGAGCGUGUAGGCGGUUCGGUAGGUCCGUUGUGAAAACUCGAGGCUCAACCUCGAGACGCCGAUGGAAACCCCCGAACUAGAGUCCGGAAGAGGAGAAUGGGAUUCCUGGUGUAGCGGUGAAAUGCGCAGAUAUCAGGAAGAACACCCGUGGCUAGGGCGGUUCUCUAGUACGGUACUGACGCUGAGACGCGAAAGCGUGGGGAGCGAACAGG